CCUACGGGUGGCAGCAGUGAGGAAUAUUGGUCAAUGGGCGCGAGCCUGAACCAGCCAAGUAGCGUGAAGGAUGACUGCCCUACGGGUUGUAAACUUCUUUUAUAAAGGAAUAAAGCGAGGCACGUGUGCCUUUUUGUAUUUACUUUAUGAAUAAGGAUCGUCUAACUCCGUGCCAGCAGCCGCGGUAAUACGGAGGAUCCGAGCGUUAUCCGGAUUUAUUUGGUUUAAAGGGAGCGUAGAUGGGUUGUUAAGUCAGUUGUGAAAGUUUGCGGCUCAACCGUAAAAUUGCAAUUGAGACUGGCAGCCUUGAGUACAGUUGAGGUAGGCGGAAUUCGUGGGGUAGCGGUGAAAUGCUUAGAUAUCACGAAGAACCCCGAUUGCGAAGGCAGCUUACUAAACUGUGACUGACAUUGAGGGGGGAAAGUGUGGGUAUCAAACAGGAUUAGAUACCCUUGUAGUC
rnacentral:rRNA from 1 species